rnacentral:rRNA from 1 species
UGCCUUACACAUGCAAGUCGAACGGCAGCACGGGGGGUAACCCCUGGUGGCGAGUGGCGAACGGGUGAGUAAUAUAUCGGAACGUGCCCUGUAGCGGGGGAUAACCUAUCGAAAGAUGGACUAAUACCGCAUACGCUCUACGGAGGAAAGCGGGGGUUUUCGGGCAACUGAGGACCUCGCACUAUAGGAGCGGCCGAUAUCGGAUUAGCUAGUUGGCGGGGUAAAAGCCCACCAAGGCGACGAUCCGUAGCUGGUCUGAGAGGAUGAUCAGCCACACUGGAACUGAGACACGGUCCAGACUCCUACGGGAGGCAGCAGUGGGGAAUUUUGGACAAUGGGCGCAAGCCUGAUCCAGCCAUGCCGCGUGAGUGAAGAAGGCCUUCGGGUUGUAAAGCUC